rnacentral:misc_RNA from 1 species
GAAAUACAAUAAGUAAUGUAAAUUGUAGAAUUCAAUAAAUCAUCGAAUCUUUAAAUGCACAUUACACCCGCCAGUAUUCUAGCGGGCAUGCCUGUUCGAGCGUCAUUUCAAACCAUCAAGCCCCUAGGCUUAUAUUGGGGACCUGCGGCCACUAUAGGCCCUAAAAAGCAGUGGCGGGCUCGCUAUCGCACCGAGCGUAGUAGCAAUCACCUCGCUUAAGGCGUACUACAGGCGCCGGCCGUUAAACAACCAACUUUAUACCCCCAAAGGUUGACCUCGGAUCAGGUAGGAAUACCCACUGAACUUAA